rnacentral:tRNA from 1 species
GCCGGGAUGGCGGAACUGGUAGACGCGCUGGACUCAAAAUCCAGUUCUGGUAACAGAGUGAGGGUUCGAGUCCCUCUCCCGGCACCA